UACGUAGGGUGCGAGCGUUAAUCGGAAUUACUGGGCGUAAAGCGUGCGCAGGCGGUCCGCUAAGACCGAUGUGAAAUCCCCGGGCUUAACCUGGGAACUGCAUUGGUGACUGGCGGGCUGGAGUAUGGCAGAGGGGGGUAGAGUUCCACGUGUAGCAGUGAAAUGCGUAGAGAUGUGGAGGAAUACCGAUGGCGAAGGCAGCCCCCUGGGCCAAUACUGACGCUCAUGCACGAAAGCGUGGGGAGCAAACAGG
rnacentral:rRNA from 1 species